rnacentral:misc_RNA from 1 species
UUGCUGUAUAUUUUAAUAUUUUAGUCGGUGUGUUGGGUAGAGAGAGAGAGAGAGAGAGAAGCAUCUUCUGUUGGACAUGUAUAAAUGCAUCAGCCUCAUAAUUAUUUAAGCCAUAUCAAAAUUCCUCACUCAAAAUGCUCUUUCUUUUAUCUAAGGGCAGGGGGAAGGGGAAGGGGAAGGGGAAGGGGAAGCGGCAUAGAGGAGGGUGCGGGAUUGAGGUAUGCCCUCAGUAGGCUGUCUAACCCAUCAGACAACUUUCGAGCUACUUGCUGUAGAGAUGAACUAGAGUGAAAAUGAAGAAACCUGCCAUCAUAGAAAACGCUGCUCCAUAAUAAGGAUAAGCUGCAGGAAUGAAUCUUUCAUAUUCAUUGUGCCUAUAGGGACGGACUGGAAUCUGCUUUGAUAGGGAUAAGGUCGUAUAUCCAAGUCUUCUGUACUCAAUUUUGAACUGGAAAACCCCAUAAACAUCAGGAACCUUGAAAGCAGUAUAAUAGAGACCCUUCUUAUCAGUUGAUAAGGUUUUCAACACAUAAGGACUCAUCAUGUAAAACUGUAAUUGAACAUCAUCUGCUACAUAUGGUUCCCAACUUGUUCCAGACCACUCAUAAAUUUCGACUGAGUAUUCCAAGUCGUCUUUGAUUCUGUACAAUGAAGGUUCAUCUGCUUUCCCAACUUUGUGGUGUCUUACUUUCACAGCCUUCAGAUGACCUCUCUCAUGGAAAAUCCAUUUGCUAAGUUCAACCAAAAAUUGCUCAUUGCCAGAUUUCUCAUGUUUUGUUGAACUCCCUGCCUUCUGCAACCCAGAUCUAAAAAAUCGAUUUCCGAACAGGCUUAAUGAGCCAGCAAUCAAAAUCCGAGCAUUAUCUCUUGCCUGCACUAUAGAUACCAAAGAGAUAGCAGUUCCGGUAAGAGAUGGAGGAUUUGACAACUUGGUCUUGGGAUUAGCUGAAUAGGAUGAAGGAGAAGCUGAGAGAACUUUUGUUACCAAGGUAUUGGCAGGAUUUAACGUGUGAGCAAUCCCCUGGAAAAGUACAGGAGCGUCAAUUUUCUUGCUGCCCAAUAUCACAUCAGACUUAAUGAAGUCAUCACUAGCAAUCAGCGUAUGAUCUCCUUCAAUCUCCGAUACCGCGUAGCUAGUGUGAUCAAUAACCAUAGCCGCAGGAUCCUCAUCGAAAUCGGCUCCAUUCUCGGUGGCAAUUUCACGAAUCGAUUCAGAGGCAUUAGUAUCAGCCGCAAUUAUCAAAUCACGACCCGAAUCAACAAAAUCAAGAAUUGCAGCGACAUCAACUGGUCCCCCAAACAGCUCAGCGGUGGGGCAGAAAAGAAUUAACGCGUCGUAUAAGUACUGGCCGUAACGAUGGAGUCCGAUUUUGGGAUCGUCUGCGAGCUUAAACUCGAGAUGGAAGCCGCGAGAUUGCAGGGACUUGAAGAACAAAGAAUGCGAUGAUUUGAUGGCGAAAUCGUCUAACAAGACGAGGACACGGCGGUGUGUAGCAGAUUCAGAAGUAAAGGAAUAACAGAGAAAUGGAAGGAAUUGUAGUAUAGUUAGGAGGAUUACGAGCUUUUUCGCCAUUUCUGGAGAUUGAGGUUGAGUGGAAUUGCAGAGUGACUGAGGUAUUUUUUUUUUUUUUUUUUUUUUUUU